UCGACCUGAGCUCAGGCAAGACU
rnacentral:rRNA from 1 species